AAACCGUCACGCUUGCGAUUCCCUUUCAUCCUCGCAGUCGACAUAACUCUUUCCAGAAAUAUCAAUCGAAGACGUUUUCCCACUAAUUUCACUACCUCCUCUUCAGUUCUCUUUUAAGUCCACCUUCUGCAGCAUGGGUGCUUAUAUAUACCAACCCCAUGAGAGAUGAAACCAAAUCCGUUUCCUUUUCAGGCUAAAGCAAUUACCUUCUACUUAUACAAUCCCUUCAACCAUGGAGAGUUCUGAAGUUAGUUCUCAAGGCCGGCAGUUGCAGCCAAACUGUCCAGACCAGACUCCUGUGAUUUUGGGAGCUGAUGGGCGUCCAUAUUCUGCUCAUUGAUGCAAAGGUUUGUUUAAUUUCUUAUACAAUGAUUAGUAUAAGAUUUGGACCUUGGCAAGUUUUUGUUCACUCAUUACUUCUUUCCCAGGCCUCAAUCAAUGUUCGCCAUCUUAACACCUUCAAAUACCUCUUCAAAAAAUGGUCGCUUUAUGAGCAAAGUGGUUUUGAUGUUGUAAGAAGCAACAUGAACUUCAGGUUUUGUGAUGCUCCUGUCGGAAAUAGAUUCCCAGAGUAGUUGAAGUUGCAUUAACUACUCAACAGAUCUUGACUGAAAGGUUUAGGUUCCACACUUGCGACGAGCUCAUGUCACUUGCGAAUACCAACACUGAUCAUUUGCCAUGUUUGAUUUCAUUAACAUCCCUUACAACACUGAUUUAACACUGAUCUGGGCUUAGAAUUGAUCUUGGUUUGCACAUAUUGUUGGUCAAGUUCCAACAUUAGUUGCAGAUAUUCAUACUUUGGAC
rnacentral:lncRNA from 1 species